GGUUGUAGCUCAAUGGUAGAGCACUUGCCUAGCAUGCUUGAAGCACUGGGUUCGAUCCUCAGCUCAUCA
rnacentral:tRNA from 1 species